UUCAGUAUUUUGACUGUGCGAAGGUAGCAUAAUCAUUUGUCUUUUAAUUGAAGGCUUGUAUGAAUGGUUUGAUGAGGGAAUAACUUUCUUUAUAUUAUAAAUUGAAUUUAAUUUUUUAGUUAAAAAGCUAAAAUUUUUAAAUGGGACGAGAAGACCCUAUAGAAUUUUAUUUUCUUUUUAAAAAUAAUGGUUUGGUUAUAUUUUUUGUUUUUAUUUAUGUAGAAUUUUGUUGGGGUGACAUUGAGAUUUAUUUAACUCUCAUAAUUAAAUUUUUAAUAAUUAUUAUUUUUAUGAUCCUAUUUUAUGGAUAUAUAGAUUAAAUUACCUUAGGGAUAACAGCGUAAUUUUUCCGGAGA
rnacentral:rRNA from 1 species